CCGAUACUGCGGUGCUUGAGAAAUGAAGAGGAGUCUAGAAUUUUCGGUGUAGCAAUGAAAUGCGUAGAUAUCGAAAGGAAUACCAAAGGCGAAGGCAGGACUCUGGGCAUUUUCUGACGCUGAUGCACGAAGGCCAGGGUAGCGAACGGGAUUAGAUACCCCGGUAGUCCUGGCAGUAAACGGUGCACGUUUGGUGUGGGGGGAUUCGACCCCUUCCGCGCCGGAGCUAACGCGUUAAACGUGCCGCCUGGGAAGUACGGUCGCAAGAUUAAAACUCAAAGAAAUUGACGGGGACCCGCACAAGCGGUGGAGUAUGUGGCUUAAUUCGAUGCAACGCGAAGAACCUUACCUGGGUUUGACAUGCACUGUGUCCCCGAUGAAAGUCGGGUAGCAUAGCAAUAUGCGCUUUGCACAGGUGCUGCAUGGCUGUCGUCAGCUCGUGUCGUGAGAUGUUGGGUUAAGUCCCGCAACGAGCGCAACCCCCGUGAUUUGUUGCCACCUGGUUUUCCAGAGCACUCGAAUCAGACUGCCUCGAUCAACGAGGAGGAAGGUGGGGACGACGUCAAGUCCGUAUGGCCCUUACACCCAGGGCUGCACACGUAUUACAAUGCUCAGUACAAUGUGAACCGAUACCGCGAGGUGGAGGAAAUCCAUAGAAACUGGGCUCAGUUCAGAUUGUAGUAUGCAAUUCGACUACAUGAAGACGUG
rnacentral:rRNA from 1 species